GCGCCCGUAGCUCAGCUGGAUAGAGCGCCGGACUUCGAAUCCGUAGGCCGGGGGUUCGAAUCCCUCCGGGCGUA
rfam:Candidatus Magnetomorum sp. HK-1 HK1c1249, whole genome shotgun sequence.